CAGAGGGUGCAAGCGUUAAUCGGAAUUACUGGGCGUAAAGCGUGCGUAGUCGGCAAUUUAAGUCGGGUGUGAAAUCCCCGGGCUCAACCUGGGAAUUGCAUUCGAUACUGGAUCGCUAGAGUUCGGCAGAGGGAAGUGGAAUUUCUGGUGUAGCGGUGAAAUGCGUAGAUAUCAGAAGGAACAUCAGUGGCGAAAGCGACUUCCUGGACCAGAACUGACGAUCAGGCACGAAAGCGUGGGGAGCAAACAGGAUUAGAUACCCUGGUAGUCCACGCCAUAAACGAUGACAACUAGACGUUGGGGGCAUAUGGCUCUCAGUGUCGCAGCUAACGCGUUAAGUUGUCCGCCUGGGGGAGUACGGCCGCAACGGUUG
rnacentral:rRNA from 1 species